AUAUGCUUGUCCCGAAGCUUAAGCCAUGCAAGUCUAAGAAUGAGGGAUCUCUCGAAUCUGCGAAAGGCUCCGUAUAUCUGUUCUAACCCGCCGCCCGCCAUAGAGACUAUUAGGCGGAUACCCCCGGUAAUUCUGAGGUUAAUACGUGAUGCGCCAGGCGCGCCCCCCCGGGACUGGGGGCCGCCCCAGGCUAGGACGAUGCGACGCCAGGGCAGUGUUAAAACUGCGGCCAUGGACGCCGGGCUCUCGCGGGCGGGUUGUGGGUCGCGCACUUGAUGCCGGCACGCGCCCCCAGCGAUCUCCCUGGGCGAAAGCGUGAGCGAGUCCUGAAGUUACUGGACCGCCCCGAAACGGGGCGGCUGGGCGGCGGGGGCCAGACCUAUCAACUAGACGGCCAGGGAUUGCCUGGCCGUGGUGAUAACGGGUACAGAGGAUCAGGGUUCGAUCCUGGAGAGGUAGCCUGAGAGAUCGCUACUACUUCUAAGGAAGGCAGCAGGCGCGCAACGUUCCCAAUGGGGAUACCCUGAGGACGUGAAGGGACAUAUUAAUGCCCGGCCCUUAAAGCCGGGCAAUUGACAUGGGGGAUCGCUAAACCUCCCACCGAGUAACAAUUGGAGGACAAGUCUGGUGCCAGCACCCGCGGUAAUUCCAGCUCCAGUAGCAUCUACUUAAGUUGUUGCAGUUAAAACGCUCGUAGUCGGAUUCGGCGUGCUCGCCUGCCCUCGGCAAGCCCUUGGGGCGGCCUGGCUCCCCCCUCGCGGGGGUCCCGGGCUGCUCCUUGGGCGGACGGGGAUUGGGCGGCGCGCUUCUUGCCCGGGAUCUCCCCACCGGCACUUCAGUGGCCUGGGGCUGUUGAUCGGGCAGUUUCCUUUGACUAAAUGUGAGCGCUCCAAGCAGGCCGUGAAGGCCCUGAAACCUCCAGCAAAGAACAAUAGAACGGGCCCCCUAUUCGGUCGGGAUAGGUUAAACCUAAAGGAUUGGUGUAGCAUGGCACGGAGAAACGAAGGAACCAUCCCACGAAGCGAAGACUUAGGUAUGUUAAGACAGGCAGAAGGGACCACUCCGCGAGGACCGGAGUAACGAAGAGCAAAUCAUGGUACCCCAAUUCUGGGCCAAUGAUCAACAGGGGCGAUCGGGGCGGGCCACAUGGUCGGGGUAGGGGUGAAAUCCGUUGAUCCUGACCCGGUGAACUAGAGCGAAAGCAGCCCGCUAGUACGCUUUCUUUGAUCAAGAACGAAAGUCUGGGGAUCGAAGACGAUCAGAUACCGUCGUAGUCCAGACCCUAAACGCUGCCGGCCAUGGAUGGGCACUCGUCCAUCCCGACCCUGCCCGCACCUUAUGGGAAACCAUAAGCGUUUGGGCUCUGGGGGGAGUAUGGUCGCAAGGCUGAAACUUAAAGGAAUUGACGGAAGAGCACACAAGGAGUGGAGCCUGCGGCUUAAUUUGACUCAACACGGGGAAACUCACUAGGGCAAGAGGGGGGAAGGAUCGACAGAUAAGCAGUGUUUUCAUGAUUCCCCCAGUGGUGGUGCAUGGUCGUUCUUAGUUCGUGGAUUGUUUUGUCUGGUCUAUUCCGCUAACGAGCGAGAACCUACUCUCUGAGGUUAGGUGCCCGGGCACGCUAGGCCCCUGCCGCCCUCACGGGUGGCGGGGGCCCGGCUGAAAACGCCCUUGAAUACGUUCCGGGGAGACCAGUGUCGCUAAGGCGCUGGCGGCAGGUCAAUAACAGGUCAGUGAUGCCCUUAGAUGCUCUAGGCUGCACGCGCGCUACAAUGGGGCAAGCACCGGGCCUCCCUGUGCCUAACGGCGGCGGGGAAUCCGGCAAAAUGCCCCGUGUCCGGGAUAGUAGCGUGUAAAUCGCUUUCUUGAACAAGGAAUUUCUAGUAGUCGUGGGUCACCAGCCCGCGGCGAUUU
rnacentral:rRNA from 1 species